ncrna:unclassified sequences malK-I RNA
UUUAACCCCCGCGUGUUACUCCACUUAAAUAAUACGUGAGGGGCUAAAAAAGGAGAGGAUCCGCCGCGGCUGGCGGUGCGGCAGUGUGGAGACCUGUCGUAAUGGGAUAAUUGCCUUUAUCCCGAGGCCGUUCCUUGCGGAGGCAGAACGGUCGCAGCCGAAAAAAGAAUAUGGCA